GCGUUAUUAUCUAUAUGAACCGCUUCCGGAUAGGGGGAGCAUAACCAUCGUUGUGUUUAAGCGUUCGAGAGAUGAGGAGUGUCGUAAUGACGAGAAUCAUCUCGAGGCGUUAAUGGCUCUGCGUUAGCAGAGUUCUCUUGAUUCCAGGGGACCUUGAAAAUCUGUGUAGAGAGCGACUUGUAAGUUCGUACCGAGAACCGACACAGGUGCGCUGGCUUAGAAAGCUAAGGUGCUACGGGUAUACCGUAUGGUGAGGGAAUUCGGCAAAUUAGUCCUGUAGCUUAGGUAUAAGGGAUGCCUGCACACUUCAUGAGGAAUGGGGUGAGCAGGUUGCAAUGACAAGGGGGUUUCGACUGUUUAAUAAAAACACAGGCGACUGCUAGUCCGAAAGGAUUUGUAUAGUCGCUGAAUCCUGGCCGGUGCGGGUACCUAAAACUUGGGUUCAACCGAGCUAAGGGCCCGUUAACGCCGGGAGUAACUCUGACUCUCUUAAGGUAGCCAAAUGCCUUGUCGGGUAAGUUCCGACGCGCAUGAAUGGAACAACGAGAGCCCCACUGUCCCCACCUACAACCCGGUGAAGCCACAUAAGGUGGACGAACAGUCCAUCAUCUUCCAUCGGGGAGAGAAGACCCCGUGGAGUUUUACUGCAGCUUGUGCUUGUAGUAUAGUAAAGAUUACAUAGUGUAUCUGGGAGCCAUGCCUCAUUUUCUUUGGGAAAUGAGUGAAGCAACGAUGUAACACCAGAUUAUUUUUGCAGUACUACUUACCCGGUGCAGACCGGGGACACGUGCAGGUGGGCAGUUCGGCUGGGGCGGCACCCCUCAGAAAAGAUAUCUGAGGGGCCCAAAGUUUAGUUCAAACGGGUCAGAAAUCCGUUGAAGAGGGCAAAGCCAAAAACUAGACUGACAGGAUUUCCAAACGCACGGAAUUCUGAGACGAAAGUCUGGCUUAGCGAUCCUUCGUGUGCCCACUAUUGGGGCCCGAAGGUGACAGAAAAAUUACCCCAGGGAUAACAGGCUCGUCGCGGGCGAGAGCUCCUAUCGACCCCGCGGUUUGGUACCUCGAUGUCGGCUUUUCCUAUCCUGGUCCUGCAGCAGGGGCCAAGGGUGAGGCUGCUCGCCUAUUAAAAGGGAACAUGAGCUGGGUUUAGACCGUCGUGAGACAGGUCGGUCUCUGCCUGAUGGAAGCGUCGCUGUCUGAGGGGAAGUUGCUCUUAGUACGAGAGGAACAGAGCAGCGUCGCCGCUGGUGUACCGGUUGUCUGAUAAGGCAGGCCGGGCAGCUAAGCGAUUUAGGUUAAGUGCUGAAAGCAUCUAAGCACGAAGCCUAUCC
rnacentral:rRNA from 1 species